rnacentral:rRNA from 1 species
CUACGGGAGGCUGCAGUGAGGAAUAUUGCACAAUGGGGGGAACCCUGAUGCAGCAACGCCGCGUGGAGGAUGACGCAUUUCGGUGUGUAAACUCCUUUUAUAUGUCAAGAAAAUGACGGUAGCAUAUGAAUAAGCGCCGGCUAACUCCGUGCCAGCAGCCGCGGUAAUACGGAGGGUGCAAGCGUUACUCGGAAUCACUGGGCGUAAAGGACGCGUAGGCGGGUUGGAAAGUCAGGUGUGAAAUCCUACAGCUUAACUGUAGAACUGCACUUGAAACUUCUAAUCUAGAGUAUGGGAGGGGGAGAUGGAAUUAGUGGUGUAGGGGUAAAAUCCGUAGAUAUCACUAGGAAUACCUAAAGCGAAGGCGAUCUCCUGGAACAUUACUGACGCUAAGGCGUGAAAGCGUGGGGAGCAAACAGGAUUAGAUACCCGAGUAGUC